UGGGGAAUAUUGGACAAUGGGCGCAAGCCUGAUCCAGCCAUGCCGCGUGUGUGAUGAAGGCCUUAGGGUUGUAAAGCACUUUUGUCCGGG
rnacentral:rRNA from 1 species